AGUUUUCUAGAAUGGACUGAACUGCACCAGACUAGGCUGUAAAAGACGAUUUUUUACGAUUUUUUAUGUACUAUAUGUUGAAAAGAAAAUUUUGAAGCCAACAAAGUUGCUAUAUUUGUAUUUGCUAAAAGAAGUUACAUGAGUCCUUGGUCUUUAAUUGUUUUAUUUUUUUCAAAUUUUGCAAACACAUUUUUCUUAGGAUUAUAUUCUCUUCGUUUCUAAAUUAUUGACGUGGUUUUGGUUCAAAUUUAUUAGGAACCAAGGGAGACAUGCUAAAAUCAUGGGUGGGUGGGUGGGUGGGUGUGGGGGGGGGGGGCGUUGUAGUACUGAAUUUUGACAAAAUUGACCCAAAAUCCAAUUUUUUUUUUUGAAAUAUGGACUCUGCGCGAAACUAUUUCACAAGUCUGACCCUUCCGUGUAGCGCCCGCAUACUGGGCGUUAGCCUUGCAGUAUAACGCCUUGUGACUGAGCGUUGAACCGGUGCCAGCGUGGCGUUCCUGUCCAGUGUGGCGAUGCCGGGGACCCACGCCAAGCCACUAUAGCGUCUUGUCCACGGGCGCUAUAUAAGUACUUUAGCGCCUUGUCACCGGGCGCUAUACCCCUGUACCCUAAAGUGGCCGAACCGCUCGGGCCAGAGGCUCAGCACGCACAGAAGGGUUCGGCCCUUUUUCCUCUCCCAUAAGAACACAGGGGUGGCGGCGGUUGCUCCCGAGCAAAUCUCUCCCCCGAUUCGUCGAUUUCUCCGUGGAUUCCGUUCGCAUUUGCUCCCCCUAGGUAUUCUCCUCCGAUCCCCUCAGUUUGCGCCGCACAGUUGCUCUGAUUCGCUAUACAUUUGUGAUUCGAGGUUGUAUCCGGCUAGUGGUUGAAUCACAAUCUUGUAGGAUUCUGGGCGGCCGGUUGUUGCUAGUUUACUUAGAGGAAAAAAGCUAGGUUAUUGCUCAAAUAGUCCUCGAUAUGUUAUACUAAGGUUUGAGAAGUUGUAUCCGGCUUGUGGUCGAAUCAGAAUUGUUUUGGAAUGUGACCGGCCGGUAGUUGCUAGUUUUGUAUGAUGAAAAAACUUAUUGCUCAAAUACCUCGAUAUGUUAUACGAAGUUGUAUUGUUGGGGAUAACAAGACCUCAGAAAGUAUGCUUUGUUCCAUGCAUGUGGGAUGGCUGUUAUAAUCAAGUAUUUUGUGUUAAUUGUUAUAACUAUUUCUUAGGCAUGGCUGGUUUGGUUUGUUCAUUCGAUGGUUGUCUUUAAUUCAUAAGAUGGAUUUGUAGGAAUGGCUUGCUUUGUUGCUAUAGUUCGGAGUACGGGUGUCAUUUGGUUUGUUAAUAUGUCUUAAG
rnacentral:lncRNA from 1 species